CGGAUUGUAGUCUGCAACCCGACUACAUGAAGCCGGAAUCGCUAGUAAUCGCGGAUCAGAAUGCCGCGGUGAAUACGUUCCCGGGUCUUGUACACACCGCCCGUCACACCAUGGGAGUCGGAAAUGCCCGAAGCCGGUGACCCAACCCGAAAGGGAGGGAGCCGUCGAAGGCAGGUCGGAUGACUGGGGUGAAGUCGUAACAAGGUAUC
rnacentral:rRNA from 1 species